rnacentral:lncRNA from 1 species
GCAGAGGACACUGAGAUCCACAGAGAGAAGGAUGUCACACAGCUCAUUGGAGGCCGGGACACCCAUGUUCCGUGAUCCCAAUGCCAGGUUUCCUUUCUUAAUUAUUCCCACUGGCCCCCUGAGUUGGAGAGGAGGCUGGCAGGCGGGCCCCUUCAUCUCUCUUCCAGCCUUGGGGUGUGGCAGAGCACAUGUAUGGGACCCCCACCCAGCGUCAGGCACUAAAGAGGAGUCUGUGGCAGCUGAUGUCACCAACCUCAUAGCUCUGAGGUGCAAGAAGAGUUUUGGAAGAAGAGCUUGCUGGACCAGAAGCCGAAGUGAGGAUGUAGGCCAGACCAGAUGCAGGAGAGGAUGACCUUUGCCUGGACAACACUGCAAGCUGGAUCCAGAAAAUGCAACUGCAGCAGGAAGAGAAGGGCCUGGCAGAGGACUGGGGCUCUGGGUAGCUUGAGAAGCUUGUCUUGAAAGAUGGGAAGAUAUGGCUACUUUGCCCCUGUGAAAGAUGACACGACUGGAGCCAGAGCAGCCAUUUCAGAGGAAUCGCCUUGCACAUCUUGUCUUCUGUAUCUGCCAAACUGGAUCAAACCACCAACAUUCCAAGAAGUCAGUGAGGACAAGAAUUUCCUGUUUGUAAGGACUGAUGAAAUGGGGCUCUGCUGAUGACCUAACCCCUAGCAGUCAAUGAAGUGCAAGUCUAACCCUUUGCCUGAUGACCGAAUCUCAAGCCAGUCUACGAAGGACAAACCCAGCCUUAGCUUGUGCAGCACCAAUGAACC